rnacentral:sRNA from 1 species
AUCAGAUCUAUGUAUUCACAUUGUCAGAUUAAGAAGAAGAAAAAAAU